rnacentral:rRNA from 1 species
AUUGAACGCUGGCGGCAUGCCUUACACAUGCAAGUCGAACGGUAACAGCACUUCGGUGGCUGACGAGUGGCGAACGGGUGAGUAAUACAUCGGAACGUGCCCGAGAGUGGGGGAUAACGCAGCGAAAGCUGUGCUAAUACCGCAUACGAUCUACGGAUGAAAGCAGGGGACCGCAAGGCCUUGCGCUCAUGGAGCGGCCGAUGGCAGAUUAGGUAGUUGGUGGGAUAAAAGCUUACCAAGCCGACGAUCUGUAGCUGGUCUGAGAGGACGACCAGCCACACUGGGACUGAGACACGGCCCAGACUCCUACGGGAGGCAGCAGUGGGGAAUUUUGGACAAUGGGCGAAAGCCUGAUCCAGCCAUGCCGCGUGCAGGAUGAAGGCCUUCGGUUGUAAACUGCUUUUGUUACGGAACGAAAGGUACGUUUUCUAAUUAAAGAAGGACUCAUGACGGUACCGUAAGAAUAAGACACCGGCUAACUACGUAGCCAGC